GAGUUUGAUCGUGGCUCAGAGUGAACGCUGGCGGCAGGCCUAACACAUGCAAGUCGAACGGCAGCACAGAGGAGCUUGCUCCUUGGGUGGCGAGUGGCGGACGGGUGAGGAAUGCAUCGGAAUCUGCCUAUUUGUGGGGGAUAACGUAGGGAAACUUACGCUAAUACCGCAUACGUCCUACGGGAGAAAGUGGGGGACCGCAAGGCCUCACGCAGAUAGAUGAGCCGAUGCCGGAUUAGCUAGUUGGCGGGGUAAAGGCCCACCAAGGCGACGAUCCGUAGCUGGUCUGAGAGGAUGAUCAGCCACACUGGAACUGAGACACGGUCCAGACUCCUACGGGAGGCAGCAGUGGGGAAUAUUGGACAAUGGGGGCAACCCUGAUCCAGCCAUGCCGCGUGAGUGAAGAAGGCCUUCGGGUUGUAAG
rnacentral:rRNA from 1 species